rfam:Bacillus sp. FJAT-27916 Scaffold1, whole genome shotgun sequence.
AGGAGCCGUGUGCGUUAAUAGCGCAAGCACGGUUCUGAGAGGGGGGAGAAGCACAAUUUACCGUAAGGUAAAAAGGCUCUCUUCUACUCGAC